UGCAAGAUGUCUGAAGGGAAGCGUGUUAAUAUUUAUACAGACUCAAUGUAUGCCCUGGGCGUGGAACAUGACUUUGGGUUAAUCUGGAAAACCAGGGGGUUCCUUACAGCAACAGGUACUCCUGUUAAACAUGGCACAGCUAUCAAAGAAUUGAUGGAUGCCUUACUUCUUCCUGAAGAGGUAAAGGCCCACGAGAGACUAAAUUCAGAAGAAGCACAUGGCAACCAUUUAGCCGACCAGGCCGCUAAGGAUGCGGCACGCCAGUGUCGGGAAGUGAACAGAAGAGUGUCCGUCGAAAAGACUCCUAUUUACACUAUGCGAACCCUACCCACCGAUCUCAAGCUUCUAAGAAAACAACAGGCCGCCGCCACCCCUCAAGAAAAACAAAGCUGAAAAGUCAAAGGAGCAACCCUCCAGAAUGAAGUAUACACAAUCAACCUCAAAUUCUGUCUACCCAAGAAUAUGUAUCCAGCUGUCAUUCAGUGGGCCCAUGGACCAACUCAUUUAUCUAAGCAUCUCAUGAACUCUUUGAUUGAUAAAUAUUUUGAAGCACCCGGAAUCACCA